AUGGGAUGGAGCUGGAACAUCCUCUUCCUCCUGUCAGUAAUUACAGCUGUCUACUCCCAAGUCCAGCUGCAACAGUCUGGGGCUGAGCUGGUGAAACCUGGUUCGUUUGUGAAGUUGUCCUGCAAGGCUUCUGGGUACACCUUCACUGACUAUCUUGUGCACUACGUGAAGCAGAGGCCUGGACAGAGCCUAGAGUGGAUUGGAUGGAUGGAUCCUGAAGAUGGUGAAACUAAAUAUGCUCAGAAGUUCCAGGGCAAGGCCACACUGACUGCAGACACAUCCUCCAGCACAGCAUACAUGGAGCUCAGCAACCUGACAUCUGAGGACUCUGCGGUCUAUUUCUGUGCAAGACACAGUGUUACAACCACAUCCUGA